CCUACGUGAGGCAGCAGUGAGGAAUAUUGGUCAAUGGCCGGAAGGCUGAACCAGCCAAGCCGCGGGAGGGAGGAAGGCGCAGAGCGUCGCCGACCUCUUUUGCCGGGGGACAAAAGGCCGGACGGGGCCGGUUCUGAGGGUACCCGGAGCAAAAGCAUCGGCUAACUCCGUGCCAGCAGCCGCGGUCAUACGGAGGAUGCGAGCUUUAUCCGGAUUCAUUGGGUUUAAAGGGGGCGCCGGCGGGCCUUUAAGCCGGCGGUGAAAUCGCGGGGCUCAACCCCGCCGAGCAGUCGGAACUGGGGGCGUUGAGUGCGGCGGAGGCAUGCGGAAUGCGCGGUGGAGCGGUGAAAUGCAUAGAUAUCGCGCAGAACCCCGAUUGCGAAGGCAGCGUGCCGUGCCGCCACUGACGCUGAGGCACGAAAGCGCGGGGAUCGAACAGGAUUAGAUACCCCUGUAGUC
rnacentral:rRNA from 1 species